rnacentral:rRNA from 1 species
UGGCGGCGUGCUUAACACAUGCAAGUCGAACGAUGAAGCCUGUAACUUGUUGUGGGUGGAUUAGUGGCGAACGGGUGAGUAAUACGUGAGUAACCUGCCCUCCUUUUUGGGAUAAGCCUUGGAAACGGGGUCUAAUACCGGAUAUUCUGGCAUGCUCGCAUGGGUGUGUUGGGAAAGCUUUAUGUGAAGGGGGAUGGGCUCGCGGCCUAUCAGCUUGUUGGUGGGGUGAUGGCCUACCAAGGCGGUGACGGGUAGCCGGCCUGAGAGGGUGACCGGCCACAUUGGGACUGAGAUACGGCCCAGACUCCUACGGGAGGCAGCAGUGGGGGAUAUUGCACAAUGGGCGAAAGCCUGAUGCAGCGACGCCGCGUGGGGGAUGAAGGCUUUCGGGUUGUAAACCUCUUUCGCUAUCGAACAAGGCUCAUUUUUUGGUGGGUUGAGGGUAGGUGGAGAAGAAGCGCCGGCUAACUACGUGCCAGCAGCCGCGGUAAUACGUAGGGCGCGAGCGUUGUCCGGAAUUAUUGGGCGUAAAGGGCUUGUAGGCGGCUUGUUGCGCCUGCUGUGAAAACGCGGGGCUUAACUUCGCGCGUGCAGUGGGUACGGGCAGGCUUGAGUGUGGUAGGGGUGACUGGAAUUCCAGGUGUAGCGGUGGAAUGCGCAGAUAUCUGGAGGAACACCGAUGGCGAAGGCAGGUCACUGGGCCAUUACUGACG